CUGCAACCAAAGGAGCAAUCCGCUGAAAGAUGGGCUCGCGUCCGAUUAGCCAGUUGGCGGGGUAACGGCCCACCAAACCGACGAUCGGUAGCCGGACUGAGAGGUUGAACGGCCACAUUGGGACUGAGACACGGCCCAGACUCCUACGGGAGGCAGCAGUGGGGGAUAUUGCACAAUGGGGGAAACCCUGAUGCAGCGACGCCGCGUGAGGGAAGAAGGUUUUCGGAUUGUAAACCUCUGUCUUUAGUGACGAAGAUGACGGUAGCUAAAGAGGAAGCCACGGCUAACUACGUGCCAGCAGCCGCGGUAAUACGUAGGUGGCAAGCGUUGUCCGGAAUUACUGGGUGUAAAGGGAGCGUAGGCGGGAAGACAAGUCGGGUGUCAAAUCUAUCGGCUCAACUGGUAGCAGCACUCGAAACUGCCUUUCUUGAGUGAAGUAGAGGUAAGCGGAAUUCCUAGUGUAGCGGUGAAAUGCGUAAAUAUUAGGAGGAACACCAGUGGCGAAGGCGGCUUACUGGGCUUUAACUGACGCUGAGGCUCGAAAGCAUGGGUAGCAAACAGGAUUAGAUACCCUGGUAGUCCAUGCUGUAAACGAUGAUUACUAGGUGUGGGGGGGCUGACCCCUUCCGUGCCGGAGUUAACACAAUAA
rnacentral:rRNA from 1 species